rnacentral:rRNA from 1 species
GACGAACGCUGGCGGCGUGCUUAACACAUGCAAGUCGAACGGAAAGGCCCAGCUUGCUGGGUGCUCGAGUGGCGAACGGGUGAGUAACACGUGGGUGAUCUGCCCCUAACUUCGGGAUAAGCUUGGGAAACUGGGUCUAAUACCGGAUAGGACAAUCGUUUAGUGUCGGUUGUGGAAAGUUUUUUCGGUUAGGGAUGAGCCCGCGGCCUAUCAGCUUGUUGGUGGGGUAAGUGGCCUACCAAGGCGUCGACGGGAGCCGGCCUGAGAGGGUGGACGGCCACAUUGGGACUGAGAUACGGCCCAGACUCCUACGGGAGGCAGCAGUGGGAAUAUUGCACAAUGGGCGCAAGCCUGAUGCAGCGACGCCGCGU